rnacentral:rRNA from 1 species
CGUGAGCGGAGCGGGAUACGGAACAGUCUGACGGUGAAGCCCAGCUUGCUGGGUGGAUCAGUGGCGAACGGGUGAGUAACACGUGAGCAACCUGCCCCUGACUCUGGGAUAAGCGCUGGAAACGGCGUCUAAUACUGGAUAUGUGACGUGACCGCAUGGUCUGCGUUUGGAAAGAUUUUUCGGUUGGGGAUGGGCUCGCGGCCUAUCAGCUUGUUGGUGAGGUAAUGGCUCACCAAGGCGUCGACGGGUAGCCGGCCUGAGAGGGUGACCGGCCACACUGGGACUGAGACACGGCCCAGACUCCUACGGGAGGCAGCAGUGGGGAAUAUUGCACAAUGGGCGCAAGCCUGAUGCAGCAACGCCGCGUGAGGGAUGACGGCCUUCGGGUUGUAAACCUCUUUUAGCAGGGAAGAAGCGAAAGUGACGGUACCUGCAGAAAAAGCGCCGGCUAACUACGUGCCAGCAGCCGCGGUAAUACGUAGGGCGCAAGCGUUAUCCGGAAUUAUUGGGCGUAAAGAGCUCGUAGGCGGUUUGUCGCGUCUGCUGUGAAAUCCCGAGGCUCAACCUCGGGCCUGCAGUGGGUACGGGCAGACUAGAGUGCGGUAGGGGAGAUUGGAAUUCCUGGUGUAGCGGUGGAAUGCGCAGAUAUCAGGAGGAACACCGAUGGCGAAGGCAGAUCUCUGGGCCGUAACUGACGCUGAGGAGCGAAAGGGUGGGGAGCAAACAGGCUUAGAUACCCUGGUAGUCCACCCCGUAAACGUUGGGAACUAGUUGUGGGGUCCAUUCCACGGAUUCCGUGACGCAGCUAACGCAUUAAGUUCCCCGCCUGGGGAGUACGGCCGCAAGGCUAAAACUCAAAGGAAUUGACGGGGACCCGCACAAGCGGCGGAGCAUGCGGAUUAAUUCGAUGCAACGCGAAGAACCUUACCAAGGCUUGACAUAUACGAGAACGGGCCAGAAAUGGUCAACUCUUUGGACACUCGUAAACAGGUGGGUGCAUGGUUGUCGUCAGCUCGUGUCGUGAGAUGUUGGGUUAAGUCCCGCAACGAGCGCAACCCUCGUUCUAUGUUGCCAGCACGUAAUGGUGGGAACUCAUGGGAUACUGCCGGGGUCAACUCGGAGGAAGGUGGGGAUGACGUCAAAUCAUCAUGCCCCUUAUGUCUUGGGCUUCACGCAUGCUACAAUGGCCGGUACAAAGGGCUGCAAUACCGUGAGGUGGAGCGAAUCCCAAAAAGCCGGUCCCAGUUCGGAUUGAGGUCUGCAACUCGACCUCAUGAAGUCGGAGUCGCUAGUAAUCGCAGAUCAGCAACGCUGCGGUGAAUACGUUCCCGGGUCUUGUACACACCGCCCGUCAAGUCAUGAAAGUCGGUAACACCUGAAGCCGGUGGCCUAACCUUUUUGUAGAGAGAACACCAGUGAUUAGGUAGAAUGUU